ensembl:snRNA U6 U6 spliceosomal RNA
CUGCUUGCUUCAGCAACACAUACACUAAAAUUAAAAAGAUACACAAAGGACUGGUAUGGCCUCUGCUAGGAUAACAUGCAAAUUCAGGGAGCAUUCCUUAUUUUU